rnacentral:rRNA from 1 species
GAUCAUGGCUCAGGAUGAACGCUAGCGGCAGGCUUAACACAUGCAAGUCGAGGGGCAGCGGGGUGUAGCAAUACAUCGCCGGCGACCGGCGCACGGGUGCGUAACACGUAUGGAAUCUGCCCUGUACUGGGGGAUAGCCCUCCGAAAGGAGGAUUAAUACCCCAUAACAACUUGAGUGGCAUCACUUGGGUUUGAAAGCUCCGGCGGUACAGGAUGACCAUGCGCCCGAUUAGCUAGUAGGUGAGGUAACGGCUCACCUAGGCUACGAUCGGUAGGGGGCCUGAGAGGGUUAUCCCCCACACUGGAACUGAGACACGGUCCAGACUCCUACGGGAGGCGGCAGUGGGGAAUUUUGGACAAUGGGCGCAAGCCUGAUCCAGCCAUGCCGCGUGAGUGAAGAAGGCCUUCGGGUUGUAAGGCUCUUUCGGCCGGGAAGAAAUCGCACAGGUUAAUACCCUGUGUGGAUGACGGUACCGGAAUAAGAAGCACCGGCUAACUACGUG